UGCAAGUCGAGCGGAUGAAGGGAGCUUGCUCCUGGAUUCAGCGGCGGACGGGUGAGUAAUGCUUAGGAAUCUGCCUAUUAGUGGGGGACAACAGUUGGAAACGGCUGCUAAUACCGCAUACGCCCUACGGGGGAAAGGAGGGGAUCUUCGGACCUUUCGCUAAUAGAUGAGCCUAAGUCAGAUUAGCUAGUUGGUGGGGUAAAGGCCUACCAAGGCGACGAUCUGUAGCGGGUCUGAGAGGAUGAUCCGCCACACUGGGACUGAGACACGGCCCAGACUCCUACGGGAGGCAGCAGUGGGGAAUAUUGGACAAUGGGGGGAACCCUGAUCCAGCCAUGCCGCGUGUGUGAAGAAGGCCUUUUGGUUGUAAAGCACUUUAAGCGAGGAGGAGGCGCCCUAGAUUAAUACUCUAGGAGCGUGGACGUUACUCGCAGAAUAAGCACCGGCUAACUCUGUGCCAGCAGCCGCGGUAAUACAGAGGGUGCGAGCGUUAAUCGGAUUUACUGGGCGUAAAGCGUACGUAGGCGGCUUUUUAAGUCGGAUGUGAAAUCCCUGAGCUUAACUUAGGAAUUGCAUUCGAUACUGGGAAGCUAGAGUAUGGGAGAGGAUGGUAGAAUUCCAGGUGUAGCGGUGAAAUGCGUAGAGAUCUGGAGGAAUACCGAUGGCGAAGGCAGCCAUCUGGCCUAAUACUGACGCUGAGGUACGAAAGCAUGGGGAGCAAACAGGAUUAGAUACCCUGGUAGUCCAUGCCGUAAACGAUGUCUACUAGCCGUUGGGGCC
rnacentral:rRNA from 1 species